UUUGGCCUGCAGGGUCGACGAUUCGCGGCCUAUCAGCUUGUUGGUGGGGUAACGGCCUACCAAGACAUCGACGGGUAGCUGGUCUGAGAGGACGAUCAGCCACACUGGGACUGAGACACGGCCCAGACUCCUACGGGAGGCAGCAGUAGGGAAUCUUGCGCAAUGGGCGAAAGCCUGACGCAGCAACGCCGCGUGGGGGAUGAAGGCUCUCGGGUCGUAAACCCCUUUCAGCAGGGACGAAAAUGACGGUACCUGCACAAGAAGCCCCGGCCAACUACGUGCCAGCAGCCGCGGUAACACGUAGGGGGCAAGCGUUGUCCGGAUUUAUUGGGCGUAAAGAGCUCGUAGGCGGUUGGGUAAGUCAGAUGUGAAACCUCCAGGCUCAACCUGGAGACGCCAUCUGAUACUGCUCUGACUGGAGUUCGGUAGAGGAGUGUGGAAUUCCUGGUGUAGCGGUGAAAUGCGCAGAUAUCAGGAGGAACGCCGACGGCGAAGGCAGCACUCUGGGCCGAAACUGACGCUGAGGAGCGAAAGCAUGAGGAGCGAACAGGAUUAGAUACCCUGGUAGUCCAUGCCGUAAACGUUGGGCACUAGGUGUGGGACCCUGUCAACGGGUUCCGUGCCGUAGCUAACGCAUUAAGUGCCCCGCCUGGGGAGUACGGAAU
rnacentral:rRNA from 1 species